rnacentral:rRNA from 1 species
GACGAACGCUGGCGGCGUGCUUAACACAUGCAAGUCGAACGGUGAAGCGAGUGCUUGCACUCGUGGAUCAGUGGCGAACGGGUGAGUAACACGUGAGUAACCUGCCCAUCACUCUGGGAUAAGCACUGGAAACGGUGUCUAAUACUGGAUACGACCAACCCUUGCAUGGGGUGUUGGUGGAAAGAUUUAUCGGUGAUGGAUGGACUCGCGGCCUAUCAGCUUGUUGGCGGGGUAAUGGCCCACCAAGGCGACGACGGGUAGCCGGCCUGAGAGGGUGACCGGCCACACUGGGACUGAGACACGGCCCAGACUCCUACGGGAAGCAGCAGGGGGGAAUAUUGCACAAUGGGCGAAAGCCUGAUGCAGAGACGCCGCGUGAGGGAUGACGGCCUUCGGGUUGUAAACCUCUUUCAGCAGGGAAGAAGCGAAAGUGACGGUACCUGCAGAAGAAGCACCGGCUAACUACGUG